CUCGGUAGCGAUGAUGGCUCAACUUUUUUCCCCAACAGAUCGACCCUGUUGACUCUUUUUGACAAAUAAGCCAAAUAUUCUGAGCAACCGCA